rnacentral:rRNA from 1 species
UACAGAGGGGGCGAGCGUUAUUCGGAAUUAUUGGGCGUAAAGGGCGCGUAGGCGGCCUUUCAAGUGACGGGUGAAAUCCCUCGGCUUAACCGAGGAACUGCCUGUCAGACCGCAUUGCUUGAGUCCGGGAGAGGUGAGUGGAAUUCCCAGUGUAGCGGUGAAAUGCGUAGAUAUUGGGAGGAACACCAGUGGCGAAGGCGGCUCACUGGACCGGAACUGACGCUGAGGCGCGAAAGCGUGGGGAGCAAACAGG